rnacentral:misc_RNA from 1 species
UACGGAGGGAGCUAGCGUUGUUCGGAAUUACUGGGCGUAAAGUGCGCGUAGGCGGCAUGCCAAGUCAGGGGUGAAAUCCCGGGGCUCAACCCCGGAACUGCCCUUGAAACUGGCAAGCUAGAAUCCUGGAGAGGCGAGUGGAAUUCCGAGUGUAGAGGUGAAAUUCGUAGAUAUUCGGAAGAACACCAGUGGCGAAGGCGACUCGCUGGACAGGUAUUGACGCUGAGGUGCGAAAGCGUGGGGAGCAAACAGG